rnacentral:rRNA from 1 species
GUGAGGAAUAUUGCGCAAUGGAGGCAACUCUGACGCAGCCAUGCCGCGUGCAGGAAGAAGGCGCUACGCGUUGUAAACUGCUUUUAACCGGGAAGAAACCCCAGGACGUGUCCUGGGUUGACGGUACCGGAGGAAUAAGCACCGGCUAACUUCGUGCCAGCAGCCGCGGUAAUACGAAGGGUGCAAGCGUUAUCCGGAUUAAUUGGGUUUAAAGGGUGCGUAGGCGGAGCGUUAAGUCAGUGGUGAAAUCCUGCAGCUUAACUGUAGACUUGCCAUUGAUACUGGCGCUCUUGAGUGCGCUUGAAGUGGGCGGAAUGUGCCGUGUAGCGGUGAAAUGCUUAGAUAUGGCACAGAACACCAAUUGCGAAGGCAGCUCACUAAGGCGAUACUGACGCUGAGGCACGAAAGCGUGGGGAUCGAACAGGAUUAGAAACCCUGGUAGUCC